rnacentral:rRNA from 1 species
UACUAGUAUAAAUAAUGAUUGGGGACUACGAGCAACGGCUUAAAAACCCAAGAUUUUGGCGGUGUUUUAUUCAAUCAGGGGAAUCUGUCUUAUAAUCGAUAACCCACGAAAAAAUAACCUUACCCUUGAAAAUAACAGUUUGUGUACUGCCGUCCAAUGGGCCCUCAAGGUUACCUGUAAUAAAUUAUCAUAAAUUUUACGUCAGGUCAAAGUGCAGCUAACGGGAAGGAAAAGAUGGAUUACAAAUUAUAACAUAAAUGGAGUUAUAGUAUAAAUCUAUAAUGAAAAAGAACUUGAUAGUAAUUUUAUUAACAAAAUAUAAUGAAUAAAGAACUUAAAACAAGC